UACGAAGGGGGCUAGCGUUGCUCGGAAUCACUGGGCGUAAAGCGCACGUAGGCGGAUUGUUAAGUCAGGGGUGAAAUCCUGGAGCUCAACUCCAGAACUGCCUUCGAUACUGGCGAUCUCGAGUUCGGGAGAGGUGAGUGGAACUGCGAGUGUAGAGGUGAAAUUCGUAGAUAUUCGCAAGACACCAGUGGCGAAGGCGGCUCACUGGCCCGAUACUGACGCUGAGGUGCGAAAGCGUGGGGAGCAAACAGG
rnacentral:rRNA from 1 species